GAAAAGUAGUAAGAAAGGAAAAACUCUAUUAGAGAGUUUCCAAAGGAUGAUUACAAAGAUGGUGAUGCAUCUGGAGAAACAAGGCUUACAGGGAGCAGCUGAGGUGCCUGGCUGCGCUCAGCCCAGAGUAAAGGAGCUGAGGGGAGGCCUGAUGGCGGCUGCAGCUCCUCACAGGGAGCGGAGGGGCAGCGCUGAGCUCUGCUCUGUGUGACAGCGACAGGGCCCGAGGGAACGGCAUGGAGCUGCGUCAGGGGAGGGCAGCUGGGGUCAGGGAAUGGUUCUGCACCAGAGGGCGGUGGGCAUGGAACGGGCUGCACAGGGCUGUGGGCACGGCCCCGAGUGCCGGAGUUCAAAGAGCAUCUGGGCACCGCUAUUGGACACUGCAUUGGGUUUGGGUGGUGCUGUGCGGAGCCGGGGGCUGCACUCAGUGAUCCAUGUGGGUCCGUCCAACUUGGGAUAUUCUCUGACUCUGAUUCGGUUGUUUGAAAUUGCAAAUCUCAAAAAACAAACAAACAAAAAGCCAAAAACAUAAAAGCGAGAGCGCGGCCGGUAACCCUCCCCACUCGGCCGACCUGCCCCCACAUCCCACGCACGGCCCCGCACCGCCGCGGCUCCCCCACCCCCUCUGCUCGCGGGGGGGGCNNNNNNNNNNNNNNNNNNNNNNNNNNNNNNNNNNNNNNNNNNNNNNNGGCGGGGCGGGCUGCCGGGGUCGGGUCGUGCUGACCUGCGGCGACGUGAUGUGACGGGGCUCAGAAAUAGGUGCGCGGGUAGGACAGCGCGACAACAGCUGCACGAUGAGAACACUGGCAGUGCUGGAGUGCCACUUGGGCACCAACUGCUGCAGCCCCACAGCAGCAGCCACUGCCCCAGAGGGCCAACAGGGCCGCUGUCGCUGCUGUGAGGAGCUUGGCACAGAAGAACAUCCCUGGAGCAGCCAUGGUUCUUCCACACAGAUUACCAAUAUCGGUACCAGGCCCUUCCCGUGGCAACAACCCAUGUCCCGCACUGAAAUCACUGUGCCUGGAGGCAGAAAAAGUCAGAUUAUGUAUUUAUGUAUCCAGAAAUUGAGUUCUGAACAACAAAGCUGUGGCUUGGAUAGAUUUUUUGUCACUUCCUUUUUUCUGUGAGCUAAAUGCAUUGAGAUGUUUGGAGAUGUCCCCACCCCAUCUUCAGCCUGAAGCACCACUGAGACCCACAGCUGCUGCAGAACACAAUGAAGCUGCCAGAGACACUAAUGGGGGGGAGCUGAAGGGUUUGUAGACAAAAAGUAAGGGGUGUGCUGUAGUGCCUACAACCAUGGAUUGCAAGAGUACCCUUCUUAAAGCCAACAGAAUGGCAUCUUUUUUGAUGGAAAUAUAACAGUGGGAUUUCAGAGCAUGACCAGCGCCCAGCAUUCAAAACAGCGUGCAUCAGGCCAGACACAAACUGUGAGACUAUCUUUAAGUCAUUAAAAAGAUCCAGAAUUAGUCAUAUUUGCCUUUUAUUUCUGAGCCUUUCAUGUUUUCUUGCUUUUGUGUUUUCA
ensembl:lncRNA